AGUGGACGCUGGCGGUAGGCCUAACACAUGCAAGUCGAACGGCAGCACAGUAAGAGCUUGCUCUUACGGGUGGCGAGUGGCGGACGGGUGAGGAAUACAUCGGAAUCUACUUUUUCGUGGGGGAUAACGUAGGGAAACUAACGCUAAUACCGCAUACGACCUACGGGUGAAAGCAGGGGAUCUUCGGACCUUGCGCGAUUGAAUGAGCCGAUGUCGGAUUAGCUAGUUGGCGGGGUAAAGGCCCACCAAGGCGACGAUCCGUAGCUGGUCUGAGAGGAUGAUCGGCCACACUGGAACUGAGACACGGUCCAGACUACUACGGGAGGCAGCAGUGGGGAAUAUUGGACAAUGGGCGCAAGCCUGAUCCAGCCAUACCGCGUGGGUGAAGAAGGCCUUCGGGUUGUAAAGCCCUUUUGUUGGGAAAGAAAAGCAGCAGGUUAAUACCCCGCUGUUCUGACGGUACCCAAAGAAUAAGCACCGGCUAACUUCGUG
rnacentral:rRNA from 1 species